GACGAACGCUGGCGGCGUGCUUAACACAUGCAAGUCGAACGGAAAGGCCCUGCUUUUGUGGGGUGCUCGAGUGGCGAACGGGUGAGUAACACGUGAGUAACCUGCCCUUGACUUUGGGAUAACUUCAGGAAACUGGGGCUAAUACCGGAUAGGAGCUCCUGCUGCAUGGUGGGGGUUGGAAAGUUUCGGCGGUUGGGGAUGGACUCGCGGCUUAUCAGCUUGUUGGUGGGGUAGUGGCUUACCAAGGCUUUGACGGGUAGCCGGCCUGAGAGGGUGACCGGCCACAUUGGGACUGAGAUACGGCACAGACUCCUACGGGAGGCAGCAGUGGGGAAUAUUGCACAAUGGGCGGAAGCCUGAUGCAGGAACGCCGCGUGCGGGAUGACGGCCUUCGGGUUGUAAACCGCUUUCGCCUGUGACGAAGCGUGAGUGACGGUAAUGGGUAAAGAAGCACCGGCUAACUACGUG
rnacentral:rRNA from 1 species